rnacentral:rRNA from 1 species
AACGCGAAGAACCUUACCAGGGCUUGACAUCCUACUAACGAGGCAGAGAUGCGUUAGGUGCCCUUCGGGGAAAGUAGAGACAGGUGGUGCAUGGUUGUCGUCAGCUCGUGUCGUGAGAUGUUGGGUUAAGUCCCGCAACGAGCGCAACCCUUACGGUUAGUUGCUACGCAAGAGCACUCUAGCCGGACUGCCGUUGACAAAACGGAGGAAGGUGGGGACGACGUCAAAUCAUCAUGCCCCUUAUGUCCUGGGCUACGCACGUACUACAAUGGCGGUCAUACAACGGGAAGCAAUACGGUAACGUGGAGCAAAUCCCCAAAAGCCGCCUCAGUUCGGAUUGUGGGCUGAAACCCGCCCACAUGAAGUCGGAAUUGCUAGUAAUCGCAGAUCAGCAUGCCGCGGUGAAUACGUUCCCGGGUCUUGUACACACCG